rnacentral:rRNA from 1 species
UACGAAGGUGGCAAGCGUUACUCGGAAUUACUAGGCGUAAAGGGCAGGUAGGUGGUUUGGUUAGUCUGUUGUGAAAGCUCCUUGCUCAACGGGGAGAGGUCAACAGAUACUGCCAGACUUGAGUCUAGGAGAGGGUACUGGAAUUCCCGGUGUAGCGGUGAAAUGCGCAGAGAUCGGGAGGAACACCAAUGGCGAAAGCAGGUACCUGGACUAGUACUGACGCUCAGCUGCGAAAGCUAGGGGAGCAAACAGG